rnacentral:rRNA from 1 species
AGCAGUAGCCGCGGUAAUACGUAGGUGGCGAGCGUUGUCCGGAUUUAUUGGGCGUAAAGGGAGUGUAGGCGGUCUUUUAAGUCUGAUGUGAAAGCCCACGGCUCAACCGUGGAGGGUCAUUGGAAACUGGGAGACUUGAGUGCAGAAGAGGAGAGCGGAAUUCCAUGUGUAGCGGUGAAAUGCGUAGAUAUAUGGAGGAACACCAGUGGCGAAGGCGGCUCUCUGGUCUGUAACUGACGCUGAGGCUCGAAAGCGUGGGGAGCAAACAGGAUUAGAUACCCCCGUAGUCCCUGUCUCUUAUAC